rnacentral:rRNA from 1 species
GACGAACGCUGGCGGCGUGCCUAAUACAUGCAAGUCGAACGAGAACGACCGGUUCUUGCCCUGGUCAAUCUAGUGGCGAACGGGUGAGUAACACGUGGGUAACCUGCCCCUCAGAGGGGGAUAACAAUCGGAAACGGCUGCUCAAACCGCAUAAGUCUUCGCACCGCAUGGAUUCAAGAGGAAAAGCGGCGCCAGCUUCUGCUGAAGGAUGGACCCGCGGUGCAUUAGUUAGUUGGUGGGGUAACGGCUCACCAAGGCCGUGAUGCCUAGCAGACCUGUGAUGAGGAUCAGACACAUUGGGACUGUAACACGGCCCAAACUCCUACGGGAGGCAGCAGUAGGCAAUCUACGGCGAAGGGAGCGAGUCUGGUGGAGCAGAGCCGCGUGAGUGAAGAAGGCUUUCGGAUCGUAAAGCCCUGUUGUCAGAGAAGAACACGUCCAAAAGUAACUGAUCCCGAUUUGACGGUAUCUAACAAGAAAGCAACGGCUAACUACGUG